GAUGAAGAACGUAGCGAAAUGCGAUAAGUAAUGUGAAUUGCAGAAUUCAGUGAAUCAUCGAAUCUUUGAACGCACAUUGCGCCCGCCAGUAUUCUGGCGGGCAUGCCUGUCUGAGCGCCAUUUCAACCCUCAUGCCCCUAGGGCGUGGUGUUGGGGAUCGGCCAAAGCCCGCGAGGGACGGCCGGCCCCUAAAUCUAGUGGCGGACCCGUCGUGGCCUCCUCUGCGAAGUAGUGAUAUUCCGCAUCGGAGAGCGACGAGCCCCUGCCGUUAAACCCCCAACUUUCCAAGGUUGACCUCAGAUCAGGUAGGAAUACCCGCUGAACUUAAGCAUAUCAAUAAGCGGAGGA
rnacentral:misc_RNA from 1 species